UACGGAGGGGGCUAGCGUUGUUCGGAAUUACUGGGCGUAAAGCGCACGUAGGCGGACCAGUUAGUUGGGGGUGAAAUCUCGGAGCUCAACUCCGAAACUGCCUUCAAUACUGCCGGGCUCGAGGACUGUAGAGGAGAAUGGAAUUCACGGUGUAGCAGUGAAAUGCGUAGAUAUCGUGAGGAAGACCAGUGGCGAAGGCGAUUCUCUGGGCAGUUCCUGACACUGAGGCACGAAGGCCAGGGGAGCAAACGGG
rnacentral:rRNA from 1 species